UACAGAGGGUGCGAGCGUUGUCCGGAAUCACUGGGCGUAAAGGGCGCGUAGGCGGCUUGAUAAGCGUGCGGUGAAAGCCCCGGGGCUCAAGCCCCGGGUCCGGCCGUGCGAAACUGUCGAGCUGGAGCACUGUAGAGGCAGGUGGAAUUCCGGGUGUAGCGGUGGAAUGCGUAGAGAUCCGGAAGAACACCGGUGGCGAAGGCGGCCUGCUGGGCAGUGGCUGACGCUGAGG
rnacentral:rRNA from 1 species